ensembl:lncRNA
UAACAGCUGCGUCACCGCAAAAUUGAGGAAAGGAAUAUGUUUGACAUUUUUUCGGAAGAAAACUACGAAAAACUAUUUAUAGUAUGUUUUAAACCAGUUGUUGCUGUUGAUAUAUAAUUUAUUCAGACACCGUGUCACCUGUCAGGAGUUGCAGCUAAAGUAAAAACCACAAAAGAAGCGGAAGUGGGAAGUGGAAGUGGAAAAGUAACAGGAUGCAUUCACUUGUUUAUUGUUCAAGGAUACAUCCAAAGAGGCAUCUUUUUGACUUGGAUUCAACGCAGGAUCCGAUGCAGUUUGACAGAACAACCUUUUGAAGGAUUGGCAAGCCAAGUUUCUUGAAGUAUUCCUCUCCUAUUAUUCCAUAUGUCAAAUUUUAAGAGGAUCAUCUGUGUGAGAAAUCUUGACA